rnacentral:rRNA from 1 species
AGGGAUGAAAGUUGCCUUUUGGUAACGUUCAAGGAUGGACCUGUGUCCCAUUAGCUAGUUGGUGAGGUAACGGCUCACCAUGGCAACGAUGGGUAGCCGGCCUGAGAGGGUGACCGGCCACACUGGGACUGAGAUACGUGCCAGACUCCUACGGGAGGCAGCAGUGAGGAAUAUUGCGCAAUGGCCGAAAGGCUGACGCAGCAACGCCGCGUGGGUGAUGACGCUCCAAGGAGUGUAAAGCCCUGUUAGGAGGGAAGAACGACAUUGGCGUGAGUAAUGUCAAUGCUUGACGGUACCUCCAGAGAAAGCCCCGGGUAACUCCGUGCCAGCAGCCGCGGUAAUACGGGGGGGGCACGCGUUGUCCGGAAUUAUUGCGGCGUACAGGGCGCGUAGGCGGAAUAAUAAGUCAGAGGUGAAAACCAUGGGCUUAACCAAUGGCUGGCCUUUGACACUGUAUCCUUGAGUGCGGCAGAGGGAAGUGGAAUCCCUGGUGUAGCGGUGAAAUGGUAGAUUUCAGGAGAACACCGGUACGAAAGGGGCAUCCUGGUCCGUAACUAGUGCUAGAGGGCUACAACGUGGGGAGCAAACAGGGUUAGAUACCCUGCUUGUCCACGCCUGAAAAGACUGUGCCCUAGGUUGUGGGUUACCGACAGGUGGAUCAGUGCCGAAGCUAACGCAUUAAGUUGCCCCGCCUGGGGAGUACGAUCGCAAGGUCGAAACUCAAAAGGAAUUGACGGGGGCCAGCACAAGCGGUGGAGCAUGUGGUUUAAUUCGAUGCAACGCGAAGAACCUUACCUGGGCUUGAACUGAAGUGGCUCGCCACCGAAAGGUGGUUUUUCCUUCGGGAACUGCUUCAGAGGUGCUGCAUGGCUGUCGUCAGCUCGUGCCGUGAGGUGUUGGGUUAAGUCCCGCAACGAGCGCAACCCUUGCCCUUAGUUGCCAUCAGGUUAUGCUGGGAACUCUAAGGGGACUGCCCCGGAUAACGGGGAGGAAGGUGGGGAUGACGUCAAGUCCUCAUGGCCCUUACGUCCAGGGCUACACACGUGCUACAAUGGCUGGUACAACGGGAAGCGAUAUCGCGAGAUGGAGCAAAUCCUUAAAAACCGGUCUCAGUUCGGAUUGCAGUCUGCAACUCGACUGCAUGAAGUUGGAAUCGCUAGUAAUCGCGGAUCAGCAUGCCG